CCCUUAGAUGUUCUGGGCCGCACGCGCGCUACACUGAUGCAUUCAACGAGCACCCGCUGGGCCGAGAGGUCCGGCUAAUCUUUGAACGUGCAUCGUGCUGGGGAUAGAUGAUUGCAAUUAUUCAUCUUCAACGAGGAAUUCCUAGUAAACGCAAGUCAUCAGCUUGCAUUGAUUACGUCCCUGCCCUUUGUACACACCGCCCGUCGCUGCUACCGAUUGAGUGUCCUGGUGAAUUAUUCGGACCGACAGCAUCGGAAGUUUCUUCUGUUGCCGUUGGAAAGUCUUGUAAGCCCUGACACUUAGAGGAAGCAGAAGUCGUANCA
rnacentral:rRNA from 1 species